rnacentral:rRNA from 1 species
UAUGAAGGGAGCUAGCGUUGUUCGGAAUCACUGGGCGUAAAGCGCACGUAGGCGGACGUGUCAGUCAGGGGUGAAAUCCCGGAGCUCAACUUCGGAACUGCCUUUGAUACAGCACGUCUUGAGUCCGGAAGAGGUGGGUGGAAUUCCUAGUGUAGAGGUGAAAUUCGUAGAUAUUAGGAAGAACACCGGUGGCGAAGGCGGCCCACUGGUCCGGUACUGACGCUGAGGUGCGAAAGCGUGGGGGAGCAAACAGG